GACGAACGCUGGCGGCGUGCUUAACACAUGCAAGUCGAACGGAAAGGCCCUGCUUUUGUGGGGUGCUCGAGUGGCGAACGGGUGAGUAACACGUGAGUAACCUGCCCUUGACUUUGGGAUAACUUCAGGAAACUGGGGCUAAUACCGGAUAGGAGCUCCUGGUGCAUGGUGGGGGUUGGAAAGUUUCGGCGGUUGGGGAUGGACUCGCGGUUUAUCAGCUUGUUGGUGGGGUAGUGGCUUACCAAGGCUUUGACGGGUAGCCGGCCUGAGAGGGUGACCGGCCACAUUGGGACUGAGAUACGGCCCAGACUCCUACGGGAGGCAGCAGUGGGGAAUAUUGCACAAUGGGCGGAAGCCUGAUGCAGCAACGCCGCGUGCGGGAUGACGGCCUACGGGUUGUAAACCGCUUUCGCCUGUGACGAAGCGUGAGUGACGGUAAUGGGUAAAGAAGCACCGGCUAACUACGUG
rnacentral:rRNA from 1 species